AUUGAACGCUGGCGGCAUGCCUUACACAUGCAAGUCGAACGGCAGCACGGGAGCUUGCUCCUGGUGGCGAGUGGCGAACGGGUGAGUAAAGCAUCGGAACGUGCCCUGAAGUGGGGGAUAACGUAGCGAAAGUUACGCUAAUACCGCAUAUUCUGUGAGCAGGAAAGCAGGGGAUCUUCGGACCUUGUGCUUUAGGAGCGGCCGAUGUCGGAUUAGCUAGUUGGUGAGGUAAAGGCUCACCAAGGCGACGAUCCGUAGCGGGUCUGAGAGGAUGAUCCGCCACAUUGGGACUGAGGCACGGCCCAGACUCCUACGGGAGGCAGCAGUGGGGAAUUUUGGACAAUGGGCGCAAGCCUGAUCCAGCCAUGCCGCGUGAGUGAAGAAGGCCUCGGUUGUAAGCUCUUUCGGCGGGGAGGAAAUUGCACUCUCUAAUACAGGUGUAGAUGACGGUA
rnacentral:rRNA from 1 species